rnacentral:rRNA from 1 species
GAUGAACGCUAGCGACAGGCUUAACACAUGCAAGUCGAGGGGCAGCGAUAGUUGUAGCAAUACAAUUAGUCGGCGACCGGCGCACGGGUGAGUAACACGUAUGCAACCUACCCAUAACAGGGGGAUAGCCCGGCGAAAGUCGGAUUAAUACCCCAUGAAACAGGGGUCCCGCAUGGGAAUAUUUGUUAAAGAUUCAUCGCUGAUAGAUAGGCAUGCGUUCCAUUAGGCAGUUGGCGGGGUAACGCCCACCAAACCGACGAUGGAUAGGGGUUCUGAGAGGAAGGUCCCCACAUUGGUACUGAGACACGGACCAA